UCUCCGUAGGUGAACCUGCGGAGGGAUCAUUACAGAGUUCUCGCCCUUACGGGUAGAUCUCCCACCCACUGUUAUCGUUACUGUCGUUUCUUUGGCGGGCCGCCGGGUCCCCCGGCCGCCGGCGUCAAAUAGGCGGCGCGCGCCCGCCAGAGGCCUUCAAACUCUGAAUGUUAGUGUCGUCUGAGUACUAUAUAAUAGUUAAAACUUUCAACAACGGAUCUCUUGGUUCUG
rnacentral:misc_RNA from 1 species